CUCUCUUCAGGAGCGGUAGAGCAGGAGCAGCAUGAGGAUCUGCAGCAGGUGAGUGUGGGAGAGUGCGCUCUUCUCCCCUGUCUGCUCCCACUCCCACCUCCCUCUCUGGGUGACAUCCGAGUCUACUGGCAAACAGACAAAACAUACCAGGUGGUUCACGUCUUCAACAAAGGCCAGGAGGAGUUUACGCAUCAGUCCCCCUCUUACCACAACAGGACCCGGCUCUUCACCAAUCAGCUGCAGUUUGGCAACUUCAGCCUGGAGUUACGCAACGUCUCUGAGUACGACAACCUCACCACCUUUCAGUGUCUUGCAUUUUACCAUGGAAGCAGGAGGCCUACGUACCAGAACACUACCUUACUGGUGUUGAGGGAAGACGUGAAUAUAUCGCAUGAUGGCGGAGCUGGAAACACUACAUUGCCUGCAGUGGCUGUUGCUUUGCUAGUGUUGAUCUUCAUUAUUUUGGUUUUGGUCUGGGGUAUAAGAAAACGUCUAAAAAAGUGAUGUGAUUCCUCAACUGAAAAUGUACGCCCUGUUUAGGAUUUAGACUAGAACAAAAACUAGAGGACUGGAGAGGACAGGAGGACUGUCAGACCAAUACCAGAGU